UGUUGGAAUAGCUUGUUUAAGCCGGUAGGUGGAAGACUUAGGCAAAUCCGGGUCUUCUUAACACCGAGAAGUGAUGACGAGUGUCUACGGACAUGAAGUAACUAAUACCACGCUUCCAGGAAAAGCCACUAAGCUUCAGUUUGAAUUGAACCGUACCGCAAACCGACACAGGUGGGCAGGAUGAGAAUUCUAAGGCGCUUGAGAGAACUCAGGAGAAGGAA
rnacentral:rRNA from 1 species